UACGGGGGGGGCAAGCGUUGUUCGGAAUUACUGGGCGUAAAGGGCGCGUAGGCGGCCUGCUAAGUCGGAUGUGAAAUCCCUCGGCUCAACCGAGGAACUGCAUCCGAUACUGGCGGGCUUGAAUCCGGGAGAGGGAUGUGGAAUUCCAGGUGUAGCGGUGAAAUGCGCAGAUAUCAGGAGGAACACCGAUGGCGAAGGCAGGUCUCUGGGCAUUAACUGACGCUGAGGAGCGAAAGCAUGGGGAGCGAACAGG
rnacentral:rRNA from 1 species